rnacentral:rRNA from 1 species
UACGGGGGGAGCAAGCGUUGUUCGGAUUUACUGGGCGUAAAGGGCGGGUAGGCGGCCACCGCAAGUCAGUUGUGAAAUCUCCGGGCUUAACCCGGAAAGGUCAACUGAUACUGCGGGGCUAGAGUGCAGAAGGGGCAACUGGAAUUCUCGGUGUAGCGGUGAAAUGCGCAGAUAUCAGGAGGAACACCGGUGGCGAAGGCGGGUCUCUGGGCCGAUACUGACGCUGAGGAGCGAAAGCGUGGGGAGCGAACAGG